UAACGUGUAUAGAACCUACCUUAUAUUGGGGGAUAGCCCAGAGAAAUUUGGAUUAAUACCCCAUAGUAUGCUGAAUUGGCAUCAGUUUAGUAUUAAAGAUUUAUCGAUAUAAGAUGGCUAUGCGUUCUAUUAGCUAGUUGGUAAGGUAACGGCUCACCAAGGCGACGAUAGAUAGGGGUCCUGAGAGGGAGAUCCCCCACACUGGUACUGAGACACGGACCAGACUCCUACGGGAGGCAGCAGUGAGGAAUAUUGGACAAUGGAGGCAACUCUGAUCCAGCCAUGCCGCGUGCAGGAAGACUGCCCUAUGGGUUGUAAACUGCUUUUAUAGAGGAAGAAACCGCUCUACGUGUAGAGCUCUGACGGUACUCUACGAAUAAGGAUCGGCUAACUCCGUGCCAGCAGCCGCGGUAAUACGGAGGAUCCAAGCGUUAUCCGGAAUCAUUGGGUUUAAAGGGUCCGUAGCGGGCUUAUAAGUCAGUGGUGAAAGUUUGCGGCUCAACCGUAAAAUUGCCAUUGAUACUGUAGGUCUUGAAUCAUUGUGAAGUGGUUAGAAUGUGUAGUGUAGCGGUGAAAUGCAUAGAUAUUACACAGAAUACCGAUUGCGAAGCAGAUCACUAACAAUUGAUUGACGCUCAGGGACGAAAGCGUGGGUAGCGAACAGGAUUAGAUACCCUGGUAGUCCACGCCGUAAACGAUGGUUACUAGCUGUUUGGACUUCGGUCUGAGUGGCUAAGCGAAAGUGAUAAGUAACCCACCUGGGGAGUACGUUCGCAAGAAUGAAACUCAAAGGAAUUGACGGGGGCCCGCACAAGCGUGGAGCAUGUGGUUUAAUUCGAUGAUACGCGAGGAACCUUACCAGGGCUUAAAUGUAGUCUGACAGCUUUAGAGAUAGAGUUUUCUUCGGACAGAUUACAAGG
rnacentral:rRNA from 1 species